AGUGAACGCUGGCGGUAGGCCUAACACAUGCAAGUCGAACGGCAGCACAGGAGAGCUUGCUCUCUGGGUGGCGAGUGGCGGACGGGUGAGGAAUACAUCGGAAUCUACUCUGUCGUGGGGGAUAACGUAGGGAAACUUACGCUAAUACCGCAUACGACCUACGGGUGAAAGCAGGGGAUCUUCGGACCUUGCGCGAUUGAAUGAGCCGAUGUCGGAUUAGCUAGUUGGCGGGGUAAAGGCCCACCAAGGCGACGAUCCGUAGCUGGUCUGAGAGGAUGAUCGGGCACACUGGAACUGAGACACGGUCCAGACGCCUACGGGAGGCAGCAGUGGGGAAUAUUGGACAAUGGGCGCAAGCCUGAUCCAGCCAUACCGCGUGGGUGAAGAAGGCCUUCGGGUUGUAAAGCCCUUUUGUUGGGAAAGAAAUCCAGCUGGCUAAUACCCGGUUGGGAUGACGGUACCCAAAGAAUAAGCACCGGCUAACUUCGUGCCAGCCGCCGCAGUAA
rnacentral:rRNA from 1 species